AACAAGGAUUCCCCUAGUAACUGCGAGUGAAGCGGGAAGAGCUCAAAUUUUGAAUCUGGCGGUCCUCGUGGUCGUCCGAGUUGUAAUCUAGAGAAGCGUUUUCCGCGCUGGACCGUGUACAAGUCUCCUGGAACGGAGCGUCAUAGAGGGUGAGAAUCCCGUCUCUGACACGGACUACCAGGGCUUUUGUGAUGCGCUCUCGACGAGUCGAGUUGUUUGGGAAUGCAGCUCAAAUUGGGUGGUAAAUUCCAUCUAAAGCUAAAUACAGGCGAGAGACCGAUAGCGAACAAGUACCGUGAGGGAAAGAUGAAAAGAACUUUGGAAAGAGAGUUAAACAGUACGUGAAAUUGCUGAAAGGGAAACGCUUGAAGUCAGUCGCGUUGGCCGGGGAUCAGCCUUGCAAUCUUGUUGGGUGCAUUUCCUGGUUGACGGGUCAGCAUCGAUUUUGACCGUCGGAGAAGGGUCGAGGGAAUGUGGCAUCCUUCAGGGUGUGUUAUAGCCUUUGAUCGUAUGCGACGGUUGGGAUCGAGGAACUCAGCAUGACCCCUCGUGGGUUUGGGGCUUCGGCUCACAUCCAUGCUUAGGAUGCUGGCAUAAUGGCUUUAAGCGACCCGUCUUGAAACACGGACCAAGGAGUCUAACAUGCCCGCGAGUGUUUGGGUGUUUAAAACCCGAGCGCGUAAUGAAAGUGAAAGUUGAGACCUCUGUCGUGGAGGGCAUCGACGCCCGGACCAGAACUUUUGUGACGGCCCUGCGGUAGAGCGUGUAUGUUGGGACCCGAAAGAUGGUGAACUAUGCCUGAAUAGGGUGAAGCCAGAGGAAACUCUGGUGGAGGCUCGUAGCGAUUCUGACGUGCAAAUCGAUCGUCGAAUUUGGG
rnacentral:rRNA from 1 species